GAUCAGAUCUUGUUCAGGCUUUGA
rnacentral:siRNA from 1 species